rnacentral:rRNA from 1 species
AACGAACGCUGGCGGCAAGCUUAACACAUGCAAGUCGAACGGAUUGUUCUCGUAGCUUGCUAUGAGAACAAUUAGUGGCAGACGGGUGAGUAAUGCAUAGGAAUCUACCUAGUAGUAUAGGAUAGCCACUAGAAGUGGUGGGUAAUACUGUAUAAUCCCUGCGGGGGAAAGAUUUAUCGCUACAUGAUGAGCCUGUGUUAGAUUAGCUAGUUGGGGGGGUAAUGGCCUACCAAGGCAGUGAUCUAUAGCUGGUCUGAGAGGAUGAUCAGCCACACUGGAACUGAGACACGGUCCAGACUCCUACGGGAGGCAGCAGUGGGGAAUAUUGGACAAUGGGCGCAAGCCUGAUCCAGCUAUGCCGCGUGAGUGAGGAAGGCCUUAGGGUUGUAAAACUCUUUCAGUGGGGAAAAUAAUGACGGUACCCAC